UGCUAUUUUGAAUGUCCUAUUUGACAAAAUA
rnacentral:piRNA from 1 species